CUACACAAGGUGCAAGAACUGGCAGUCCGGGUGUUUAGAAAUUUUGAGCCUGCAUUGCAAGGCCGCUCGUGAGAAGUUUCGUACAUUUCGGCCGACACGUUGUUUCUUUAGCAACGCGUGCGGAUGGCUUGGAGCUAGGAAGGAUUUAGCCGAGCACCUUGUACGGUGCCACGGCACCCCUUCAUGCACCAUAGACGGCCAAGGAAGGCUCCUCAUCAUGGAAGAUGUUGCCUGUCAAGCUAACCCAACCAGAGCCACUUUACUGGCGCUUGACAACGUACUUUUUGCCUUGGUUGUCAAGCGGCGUAGGCAGUUCCUAGGCCAAGUGUCGCUACAGCUGUUUGUUUUGAACGAGGUUUCAAGGAGCUACUUCUACUCUGUAGAAAUACACAGAAGCGUAGGUAAUAACAUUUGGACGUCGGCAGCCACAUUUCCAGGAACUGCAUCGAAAGGAGCUUUCCGAAUCACAGAAGAUUUCCUGCUGGACUUGGCCAUGGAUGGGUGCAUUUGCAUGAAAGUCAAAAUCUGGCCAUCGUAAUAAAUUACCAACGGAACCGACCGAAACAAGAACCUGCAUAUUGUUUUUAUUUGAUCGUCCCGUGGCUUCCAAGCUUGCCAGAAUUAAGCACUUAGGUUGAAGUGGUCGUCCUCUCCAUGUGGCAACGUCUCGGGUGAAGAAAAUACGGACAGCGUACACUAAAAGAAUCCAAGUUAACCUAAACGUGCGUUUGCACAUUUUUUACAAUCUACGCGUGAUAUCUUUCCACGCUUAAACAUAAUGCCUACUAGGAGUGAUCAGCAACUCCUAUUCAUGCUUAGCCGGCGUGAUAGGGACCCCUGUUCCCACGAUUAGAGACGGGCCCGGGGGCGAAGGGAGAUGGAUUGAGGAGAAUCACCCAGCCCUCCGCCUCCCCCAUUCUCGCCAUGCGAGGGAUGCAACGAGGAACCACCAGCCCUUGUCGGCUUGGGUCGCUUCUCCGAAUUACGCGAGCUUUGCUCCCCAAGCUCUUCGCAGUCCUCCUCUUUAUGGUUAGACGGUGACGGACCAAGACGCUAUGGCAGUGGCAGCAGUACGGCUACGUAGAAGCUCAAUAUGCUGCAGAGAUCGCGCAAGACGCUCCCGCGGGUGACACUGAAACUAAUUUAUUAAGAAGGGGCUUUAAGGCCCAGCAGAUUUCAACAACGCCAAGGAAUGUAAAACGUAAACAAGCCUCGUCGGUAUCCUUGCACAAAAAGACGAACGCCCUCUCAACCGCGCUUUGCGGCGCCACGCGUCUAAAGACAGCGAGCCGCGUGCAGGAUAGGGACGUCAGGACAGCAUUUCCCCUAAUAAAUCUUAAUGUUUUCGCAUUC